rnacentral:rRNA from 1 species
AACGAACGCUGGCGGCAUGCUUAACACAUGCAAGUCGAACGGACUUAUGGGGCUUGCCUCAUAAGUUAGUGGCAGACGGGUGAGUAACGCGUGGGAAUGUACCUUUUGGUUCGGAAUAACUACGGGAAACUGUGGAUAAUACCGGAUAAGCCCGUGAGGGGAAAGAUUUAUCGCCAAAAGAGCAGCCCGCGUUAGAUUAGGUAGUUGGUGGGGUAAAGGCCUACCAAGCCGACGAUCUAUAGCUGGUCUGAGAGGAUGAUCAGCCACACUGGGACUGAGACACGGCCCAGACUCCUGCGGGAGGCAGCAGUGGGAAUAUUGGACAAUGGGGGAAACCCUGAUCCAGCAAUGCCGCGUGAGUGAUGAAGGCCUU